GCAGACACAUUCCAGCCAAUCAGCAGCAGACCCUCCCUCCCAGACCCUCCCACCUCCUGGACAGCUCACUAAGAAUGCAGCUUCACAAUGAAUGUAAAAUGGAUGCUGUCCAGGAGGUGGGAGGGUCUGGGAGGGAGGGUCUGCUGCUGAUUGGCUGGAAUGUGUCU